rnacentral:rRNA from 1 species
CCUACGGGCGGCAGCAGUGAGGAAUAUUGGUCAAUGGGCGGAAGCCUGAACCAGCCAAGUCUCGUGAGGGAAUAAGGCCCUACGGGUCGUAAACCUCUUUUGCCGGGGAGCAAGGGCGGGGACGUGUCCCGGCCCGGAGCGUACCCGGAGAAAAAGCAUCGGCUAACUCCGUGCCUGCAGCGGCGGUAAUACGGGGGAUGCGAGCGUUAUCCGGAUUUAUUGGGUUUAAAGGGUGCGUAGGCGGGCUUUUAGGUCAGCGGGAAAAAGUCGGGGCUCAACCCCGUACGGCCGGUGAAACUGGGGGCCUUGAGUGGGCGAGAGGAAGGCGGAAUGCGGGGUGUAGCGGUGAAAUGCAUAGAUAUCACGCAGAACCCCGAUUGCGAAGGCAGCCUUCCGGCGCCCUACUGACGCUGAGGCACGAAAGUGCGGGGAUCGAACAGGAUUAGAUACCCCUGUAGUC